GAAAUGCGAUACGUAAUGUGAAUUGCAGAAUUCAGUGAAUCAUCGAAUCUUUGAACGCAAAUUGCACUUCGGGGAAUCCCCUGGAGUAUGCUUCUUUGAGUAUCGGUUCUAUCUAUCUCCACUACACUUCGUGUGUGGUUCGAGAAGAGAUUGGGCGUUUCGCUUCCGGGCGCAUCGCCUCAAAAACACGGUUACAGCUCUUCGUGCUGCUGUGGCGUGAAAAGAUAGGUGGCCUUGUGCUACUCUUUGCUGUCUUCGGAUAGCUAUCUUUUUCUCUGCUGUCAGCAGCCGCUUGUGGUCUUUCGAUUACCGGCGAGAGUUUUUGUCUGCCGACCCGCUUUCCGUGAGCUCUUAAGCCAGCGGUUGCGAGUCAAAUUUCAUACCAAAUCUGAUCUCAAAU
rnacentral:misc_RNA from 1 species